rnacentral:rRNA from 1 species
GAAUUCGCCCUUGGGGAAUUUUCCGCAAUGGGCGAAAGCCUGACGGAGCAACGCCGCGUGAGGGAGGAAGGUCUUUGGAUUGUAAACCUCUUUUCUCAAGGAAGAAGUUCUGACGGUACUUGAGGAAUCAGCCUCGGCUAACUCCGUGCCAGCAGCCGCGGUAAUACGGGGGAGGCAAGCGUUAUCCGGAAUUAUUGGGCGUAAAGCGUCCGCAGGUGGUCAGCCAAGUCUGCCGUCAAAUCAGGUUGCUUAACGACCUAAAGGCGGUGGAAACUGGCAGACUAGAGAGCAGUAGGGGUAGCAGGAAUUCCCAGUGUAGCGGUGAAAUGCGUAGGGAUUGGGAAGAACAUCGGUGGCGAAAGCGUGCUACUGGGCUGUAUCUGACACUCAGGGACGAAAGCUAGGGGAGCGAAAGGGAUUAGAUACCCCUGUAGUCCUAGCCGUAAACGAUGGAUACUAGGCGUGGCUUGUAUCGACCCGAGCCGUGCCGAAGCUAACGCGUUAAGUAUCCCGCCUGGGGAGUACGCACGCAAGUGUGAAACUCAAAGGAAUUGACGGGGGCCCGCACAAGCGGUGGAGUAUGUGGUUUAAUUCGAUGCAACGCGAAGAACCUUACCAAGACUUGACAUGUCGCGAACCCUGGUGAAAGCUGGGGGUGCCUUCGGGAGCGCGAA